rnacentral:sRNA from 1 species
UGAAAAUGGUGGUAGAAAGUUUAGGAUGCUAAAGAAUGAGUGAUGGGUUCUUUCAGGAGAUAUUUCUUUCUUCUUCUACAGAAAAUCCUUAAAUCCCUGUGUGUGUGUGUGUGUGUGUGUGUGUGUGUGUGUUUCUUUUCUUGGUAUAGGGGAGAAAAACCUCUUAUGAUAAUAUGAAUCACAGUGAAUCAGAGAGAAUGAGAAAAAUUUUGCCUUCAA